ACAGCAGUCGCCGCGGUAAUACGUAGGGUGCAAGCGUUAAUCGGAAUUACUGGGCGUAAAGCGUGCGCAGGCGGUUAUAUAAGACAGAUGUGAAAUCCCCGGGAUCAACCUGGGAACUGCAUUUGUGACUGUAUAGCUAGAGUACGGCAGAGGGGGAUGGAAUUCCGCGUGUAGCAGUGAAAUGCGUAGAUAUGCGGAGGAACACCGAUGGCGAAGGCAAUCCCCUGGGCCUGUACUGACGCUCAUGCACGAAAGCGUGGGGAGCAAACAGGAUUAGAUACCCGUGUAGUCCCUGUCUCUUAUAA
rnacentral:rRNA from 1 species